rnacentral:rRNA from 1 species
AACGAACGCUGGCGGCAGGCCUCAUACAUGCAAGUCGAGCGAUUAAGACUCCUUCGGGAGUGUAUAAAGCGGCGAACGGGUGAGUAACAGGUGGAUGAUCUACCUUCCGGUGGGGGAUAACGGCUGGAAACGGCCGCUAAUACCGCAUUCGGUUAAUACGCUGCGGCGUAUUAAAGAAAGGCGCUUCAAAGCGCCGCCGGGAGAUGAGUCCGCCCCCCAUUAGCUAGUUGGUGAGAUAACAGCUCACCAAGGCAACGAUGGGUAGCCGAACUGAGAGGUUGAUCGGCCACACUGGAACUGAGACACGGUCCAGACACCUACGGGUGCAGCAGUAGGGAAUAUUGGGCAAUGGGCGAAAGCCUGACCCCAGCCAUGCCGCGUGAGUGAUGAAGGUCCUAGAGAUUGUAAAACUCUUUUCUGAGGAAAGAAUAAAAUAAGGGAAAGGAAAGUAGUCCUUAUUUUGUACGGUACCUACAGGAAGUAAAGGAAACGGACUAAACUCCGUGCCAGCAGCCGGCGGU